AAGAGAAAUCAAUAAAAAGAAAUUGGGAAUCUAGGGUUACCUUGUGUGGCGAUUGAAAUUCUUCUUCCCCUCUUUCUCUCUCGACGAACAAACGGCGUCGGCGGAUGACUUCUCCGGUUCUUUCAAUCUUCUUCUCCGAGCUCAAGUUUAUGCUACAAUCUCUUCCGUCCCGAUCUCAAACUCAUUUCUUUCUUCUUCAACUUGGAAUCGUGACGGCGGCGAUUUAAAUCUUCCGACGAAAUUGCGGUGGUGAUGUCGCAAGUUCUCUCCGGCGAACUUGAUGGUUCACUCCGCCUCACUCUCUUGAUCUCUGUUUUCACUCGACCUCGCUCCCAAACUCUCCGAUUACGAACUCCGUUCGGUCCGCCUCUCUUUCCGCCUCGAACUCAUCUCUGGUCUGAGUCUUCUUUUUUUCUUGCUUUUUGUGUUGUUGUAUUGUUGAUAGUUGCAGGCUGGUUGAAGUGUUAUGAAGAUGAAGGUAAUGAAGAAGAUGAGUUCAGGUAGAGAAGGUUGAAGGUUUUUGUUGAUGGAAGUGGAGGUGCGGAGUGAAAGUUGCAGAGAGUGAAUUGGAGAAUGAUGAAGAAGGGAUUGGUGAGAGCUUGAUGAUGAGUGAAAGUGGUGAAGAAUGACGAAUCCGGAAGGAUGAAGAAUGAUGCAGAGUGAUGGAGGUUGUGGGAUGAAGAAGUGAAGAAUAAGGAAUGGAAGUUGAAGGUGAGAAUGAAGAGAAGUGAAGAUUGAAGAUGGAAAAUGGAGGGAAUGAGGAAGAUGAAGAGAGGAAGAUGAUGAAAUGGUUCUGGAGGAGAAUGAAUGGAUGGGAGAAAGAGAUGAAGUGUGAUGAAUUAUGGAAAAUGGUCGAAGUGGUGAAUGAAUCGAGAGAAUGAAGAUGGAGAAUGGUGAAGAAUGAAGUGAAGAUUGAAGAAAUUGUGAAAAAAUGGUGGAGAAGAUGAAAGAAUGGUGAAGUGAAUUGUGGAAGAUGGUGGAGAGAGUGGAAGGCUGAAGAAUUCGUGGAGGAGCCCCUGAAUUGGUGAGGAUUCUGAUUUUAUAGAAGUUGAAGGAGGUUGGAGAGUUGGUUGUGGAUGCAUCUCAGCCUUUGAUUGAAGAAGUUUGUUAUACAAUAGAUGGAGAAGAUUGAACCUGGUAGAGAGGUUAUUAACAACUGAAGAGAGUGGCUGUGGGUUUUAGCCUGUAAUGAACUAAUAUGUGUUUGAGGAUAGAUGUAGGGCUAUGAAGGCACUGUUGGUUAAAUAGGUUCAGUCACAAUUCUGUUGGUUCAAAGUGGCUGCAAGGUGAGCAAGUAGCAGCAAGUCUUUGUAGGAGCUGACUUUUGUGGAAUGGGUUUGCAAACUAUCUUGAACUGGUUUAUUGAAACGGGUUGGAACCGGCAGAUUUACGGUUACGAAGCGAAGUUGAACUUGACUUGAGGAGCAAGAGUGAUGGGAGGUGGUGAAGCUGGAGACUUAGAAACAGUAGGCUUUUUAGAAAAUUUGUUUGACUUUCAAUCAACAUGGAUUUUCUUGUAGCUUCAUGUUCCCUUUUGUGACAGUUCUGUAAUUGAAUUCCUUGUAGUAUGUGAUUGUACUUGAAUUUGACUUUUGUAUUUCAAAUAUAAACAAUGAGUGAUUUCCCUUUUUUGUUGAAUAAAAUACUUCCAAAACACGGUUGUAGCCAAGUACUAAGAAUAGGUCAAUGUGACUCGGUCAACAAAACUCAGCCCUCCAUGGUUGACUCGGUUGACCAAAAGUCAACUCAUGCUUAUUUUCAAUUUCACUCUUUUUCCAACAUGCAUUUCUUCUAAAGCUUCUUUCCUUGAGGACACUGGAACCAAGAUAGCUUGCAACAUACGGAGCAAUAUUUGAUCAGGUGAACUUAUAAGAAUCCAAUAUAUGUAAGCCAACCAUUGACCUAAUAAUGCCGCACAUGAUGCAGAUGAAUGAAUGAUUUUACCCUAAAAUAAAUGAAAGAUAAGAAUUUAUGCAAA